rnacentral:rRNA from 1 species
UACGAAGGGGGCUAGCGUUGCUCGGAAUCACUGGGCGUAAAGGGCGCGUAGGUGGCCCGUUGAGUGGCUGGUGAAAUCCCGGGGCUCAACUCCGGGGCUGCCGGUCAGACUGGCGAGCUAGAGCACGGUAGGGGCAGAUGGAAUUCCCGGUGUAGCGGUGGAAUGCGUAGAGAUCGGGAAGAAUACCAGUGGCGAAGGCGUUCUGCUGGGCCGUUGCUGACACUGAGGCGCGACAGCGUGGGGAGCAAACAGG